rnacentral:lncRNA from 1 species
AGUGUGAGGAUGCCUUUGUUUCACAUCUCUCUGGAUAUAAGAAAGCUAAGGUUAGAGCUCUUUUUUUAUUCUGAAAUCAUUCGCACUGAUUUGUCGUCCAACCAUCAGUCCUCCCUUGUUUCUGAUUUCUCAUGGAUAUGGCGUCUAAAAGUUGCUCCCAGAGUUCGCAUUUUCUGGUGGAAACUGUGCUGGGGUUGUUUACCUUGUAAGGUCUAGCUAUCUUCUAGAGGAUUGCUUCACCAACGGACUACCUUGUGUAAACUAUGCUCUUCAGAAAAUGAAGAUCUGGAACACUGCCUUCUCAAAUGUCCACAGGUGACUGUGGAAUGAGGUGUGUUGGGACAAAUCAGUCGCCCCC